GCCGCGGUAGCUCAGUCGGUAGAGCAGUGGACUGAAAAUCCACGUGUCGGCAGUUCAAUUCUGCCCUGCGGCACCA
rnacentral:tRNA from 2 species